rnacentral:rRNA from 1 species
UACGGAGGAUCCAAGCGUUAUCCGGAUUUAUUGGGUUUAAAGGGUGCGUAGGCGGUUUGGUAAGUCAGUGGUGAAAGUUUGCGGCUCAACCGUAAAAUUGCCAUUGAUACUGUCGAACUUGAGUACGAGUGCGGUUGGCGGAAUGCGCGGUGUAGCGGUGAAAUGCAUAGAUAUCGCGCAGAACACCGAUUGCGAAGGCAGCUGACCAACUCGUUACUGACGCUGAGGCACGAUAGCGUGGGGAGCAAACAGG